rnacentral:rRNA from 1 species
CCGGCGACAUCGCGAGAAGUCCACUGAACCUUAUCAUUUAGAGGAAAGAGAAGUCGUAACAAGUUUUCCGUAGGUGAACCUGCGGAAGGAUCAUUG